rnacentral:pre_miRNA from 1 species
CUUCUACUCCCUCCGUCCGGAAAUAUUUGUCUUAGAAAUGAUUGUAUCUAAACUUAUUUUAGUUAUAGAUACAUCCAUUUUAUCCAUUUUUAGAACAAGUAUUUCCGAACGGAGGGAAUACAAG